GUAAUUUUUAAAUUUUUUGAUGAAUACUUUAGACUUAGUAUCUCACCUUUUACUCAAGAAUCAUCGUGCUUUGCAUGCUGUGCCUUAGGAUGCUAGAACGAAGAAGAAGCACACCGUAGGCUUCAAAUGUCCAACAGCAUCUGCCUGUAGACACCUUUGGAGAUGCGCGGUGGAGCAGAGGCUAUUUUACACGCUAGAAAACUCUAACAACAGGGUGUGGUGGUGACUG